UACGUAGGGUGCGAGCGUUAAUCGGAAUUACUGGGCGUAAAGCGUGCGCAGGCGGUAAUGCAAGACAGAUGUGAAAUCCCCGGGCUCAACCUGGGAACUGCGCUUGUGACUGGAAGACUAGAGUAUGGCAGAGGGGGUGGAAUUCCACGUGUAGCAGUGAAAUGCGUAGAGAUGCGGAGGAACACCGAUGGCGAAGGCAGCCCCCUGGGAUAACACUGACGCUCAUGCACGAAAGCGUGGGGAGCAAACAGGAUUAGAUA
rnacentral:rRNA from 1 species